GGGUGAGAGGAGGAAGGUCGCUGAAAAAGCUUAAAGUAGAAGAAAGAGAAGAGAACCCCACUUUAUGAUGUAUCAUACCCUUUCGGAAGUCUUAACUACUGAACAGUUCAAUCACUGCUAAUUUAUGUGAUGAAUUUCUCCCACGUUUACAGAGUGCCAGCUAUGUGCAGGACACUGUACUAGACCCUGGUAAUAUAAACUUAGAAAAGACCUCAAGUUGUUCACAGCUAGCCUGGAGAAACAGCAGACGGAACAAUCAAUUACAAUACAGAAGGAAGAGCACUAGGACAGAGGUCAGCAGUGGUGCUACGGAGGCCCGCACAGAGCGCACCUAAGCCAGAAUGGCAGGGUCACUCCUUUGAGAAGUCCAAAGCAGCAGAUGUCCCUGCUGACUCACACACCACUACCAGUAACUACCAUCGAAAAGCACGUAGAUUCCUAUUCGUGGUCGAUUUGCAGCCUGACUGAAAAACUGGAAUUAGGACCACCUCCGCCAAAAUGUGCCACCCACAGUGUCUAGUGCACAGGUCAGCAAGCACGAAGAGAGUGAUUCAUGAUGAAUGAAACCCCAGUAAGGAGGCAAACUAAUGGCCACAGGAGGACAAGAGCCAAAGCAACGAUAAAUGCCAAGAGGAAAAUCAUGAUGGUGAGGUGGACGAGAGAGAGGGGUAAGAACAGUGCCUUGUAUUUAAUAUGCUGCUUUCCUGUUUCCUAAAUUUUUUCACAUUUCUUAUAUUAUGUCACGUAACCCUCCAAAAACUUCUCUGAGGUACAGAACCGGAGCAGGUUUUCUGAUCACUUUUUUUUUUUUUCUAUUUUACAGAUGAGAAAACUGAGGCUUGCAGAGAUUAAGAGAUUUGUCCCAAAUCAUACAGCUGUUAAACUGUCAGGGUUCAUACCCGUAUUUUUGAAUAUGUAACCCGGUUAACGUGUUAACUCCUUCCACUACAUGACUUCAUGACUGCCUAGAGCAUCCUCAGAACCUCACCGACACGCGAUCACAAGGUGGUUGGUUAGCCCUACAGAGAAAAUGCUGCAUUAACUUUGGAGAGAAAGGCUAUGAGAGAGAGUAAGAAGGGAGGAAAGGAAAAUAGAAAAUACCAUGUAAUCAUCAAGAAAAUGUACUGGAAACAAACAAACAGAAUGGACAACCACUGGAAAACCUACCAUCGUAACCUUUGCCACUAGCAAAAGAAGUGAAAGGAAAACCAAACGGCGGAUCAUGCUUGGUGGCAAGACUGGCACAAAAGAUUAAAUCGUAUCACCUAGAGAGCGGCCGACACGAUGAUUACCCACCAUUAUGCACGGGGCACUGGAAAUGUUUAUGAGAGACAGGGAGGUCAGGAGGGGGUACGACGAGGAGGAGAAACCGAAGGAUGCAAGAAAGAACGAACCAAAGGUGACAGGCGAUGGAGCAGGCACGACUGGAUGGGUAAACUUGCCUCAACACUAUCGCUUAGAAACUGUUCAACGUGGAUGGCAAAUGUCAAAACUAAGAUACGAACUCAGCUGUGACUACAAUACAAGAGUGGUCUUAACCACUUCGUUAUCUUGA